GCUGUGGCUCAGCGGCAGGACAUGUGCUUUGAAUGCAGAAGGUCCCAGGUUCAUUCCCUGGUAUCUCCA